CUCUGUAGUCCAAACUUAUUUUAUAGAUGAGGAAACUGAGGCUGGGCGAUGUGAAGCGGACUGCUGAAGAUCAUAUAAGAAGCCAAUUGAGGCCCAGAAAAGGGAAGUGACAUGCUCAAAGUCACACAGUGAGCUCAUGGGAAAUCCAGGACUCAGACCUACAAUUCCUGAUUCCCAGCUGGGAACCUUUGUGGAGUACAUCAAGCAAAAAGUAGAAUGAGCACAGGGACAGAAUAAUCAUUGUAAGAUGGGCUCUUCCAGCCUUAGAGGCAACCUCAUGAAUCUGAAAGGUCAAGAGCUCCCUCAGUCAGAGCUGACUGGCAGCAGGAAGAAGUUUCAACUAUGGCCUUCCUUGAGAAAAUGAUUACAAAACGAUGAUGAUCUCAAGCUCUGGCCUGACUGUCCAGGCAGCAACGCCUUCUCCA